GAAAAACGAUAUACUAGAUAAAAAUGUUGGAUUACAAUAGUGGAUAUUACAGGAGAAACAUCAUCCAGAUGCGAUGCAUAAUCUACCCAUUUUCUUGACAAAGAAACUUAAACUAAGCAUCCUUCAACAUUCCUACAACUUAAUUAAAACUAGUAAUCGAGGAACAACAUCUAACAUGAACGUCAACAUCACUACAACUAAAAGUGAAAGCAUCCAUCAUCAUCAUGAACCAGAACAUCAACAUCAUCAUUGAAGUGUACUUGCCACACACCUGCAUACUCAUCCAGUUAUCUCUUGAAUCUACAAACCAAAAAAAAAUAACUGUUAAAAUACAAUGCAUUAACACAAUGCUAGUAACAGAGGCAAGGUUUAGUCACAUACAAAGGUUGAAGUCCAUGCAAUCCGUGUUUUCUCUCCAUAUCGACAUGCACGGCCCAAAAGUAAUUCCUAAUUCCAGCACUGUCAAGUUUAAAAUUUAGGAUCACAACAUAUAAUUGUAGCAAGAACUACGCCAUAUUAUGGUUUUUCGGGCUCUUCAAUAAUACUUCAGUUUCUGCAUGUUGGAGAAACUCAAUGUUACCAUGGUCAUAAUUAGCCUCAACACCCAUGAAAAAAACAAAGGGAAAAUAGAGGAACAUAUGAAAUGAAUUUGAGCACUCUUACAGGUAGUUUGAUUCACCCUUACUGUCUACAUCAGACAUUUGUUGUUGUUGUUUUGGUCUGGACAACAUUGUGAUAGUAAAGAAGACGUAAUAAACAAAUAAAGAAGCUAGCACUGUAGUUUGAACAUAAUUUUGUACGUGAUUAUGAAAAAUACCAACUUGUUUGCACCAUAAUUUGGUUCUCCCUAUCGUGUGCCGACAUUAUGAAGCAAAGUUUCUUUGUUCUGAACAACAUUAUGGUAGCAAGACGACCCUCAGAGCAAGAUAUUUGGAACAUAUUGUAUAUGGUAAUGGAAAUAUACCUUAUAUGCAUGAAAAUAUAUUUCCCAUUGCCAUGCACUGAAAUUCGGAUCAAAAGUUUCUUGUUUCUCGACAACAUUUUGAUAUCAACAACUAAACACAUAAACAUGGAAACACUACCGCCAUUAAGAACCAUAGUUCUUUGUUCUAGGAUAACAUGAUAUACAUGAAGUUUUGGGUAUUAUAUAUUUAAUUGCAAACAGUAAGUAAUGAGCAAUAAACUUACCAUCUUCAUUUUCAUCCGCAUCAACAUCACACAAUAUGUGAAUAUUUAUUUGUCAUUAGUAGUUCUUUCAUGGACAUCAGAUGAUUCGACAUCUUUUUCAACAGAAUUAUGAUGUUCGAUUGGUUCUUCCAUCAUAUAUUCUUUAUUGGAUUCAACAACACUGAUUCUUGUCCGUGACAAAUCUGCUAAAACAUGACAAUGGCCAACGUUAAUUCAGGACAAAGUAGGUAUAAUCAGAUGAUACUCACAACCACUAGAACAAUAGACGAAAGGUGUAACAAGAUUAUCCACAAUUGCAAUAUAGCUCAAAGGAUUAGAUACUGCAUAAAUAGGAGCUGGUGGUACUGAUUAAGAUUGACCAUACUGAUAUCCUCACAGAUCGAGACUAUAUGGUGGCACUUGACCUUAUGAUAGCCAUCUCCUCAGAUGUGAACAUGACUACUUCAGAUUUUAGCUGAAACAAUCACAUAUUGGAGUAAAUAUUGUCGCUACAAUCAACUGAAUAAGCCUGAAAAUGUUUCUUACUUAAUCCUCACAGAAUAAAUGUAGCAACUCCGUAAUGAGUAGGAGCUGGUUUGUGUUAGUGAAGGGUGAACACUGAACAAAGAUAUGAAACCAUUACUCUGAAAUGUACUUUGCAUCGGAUCUAUUUGGUUUUAGUGGUUGCUAAUUCACUUACUAGCAUGUGCUACUAAAGAGCGAGUUCACUGACUGACUUCUUGACUACCGUACUCCUACACUGAAACCAAUCAUAUGAUACUCAUAACUCCAAGAACAAUAGACAACAGGUGUAAGCAAGACUGCCCACAUUUGGAAUUUAUAGCUCAAACCAUGAGAUAUUAAUGUGCUCACCACACCCUACAAUCAUUUAAUCUAUUCAUAGAUUUCUCAUCACUACUGAUCACUGUCCUAGCUGAAUAUGCAUUUAAUUAUAUAGCUCAAGUAACCUCUUACCACGAUUAGUACUAUCUAAUGGGCUAGUUUAUUCUUUUAAUUCGCAUCCAUCUUAUUUGAUUGUGCCUACGAAUUCUAAUUCUUGUAACUUUUCCCUUCAGAUCAACCCAGAUCGCAAACAUGAAUCCAGUCAUAUGAGAUUUAAAAUCAGGUGUGAUAAGUGUGUGUUUUGUGCUAAUUGUAUGAAUAUGCUUAAACACGAUCAGGGCUGCCGUAUUUAAUUAGUCUAAAUGUUAUGUGCAACAACAGACUAAUGCUUUUUCAUGUCUAAUGCGCCCACACUCCCUCUCGAUUCUCACAAGUAGUCAAAUCAAAUCUUAUAGUGUACAAGUCAAAGUCUCUUUCCCAAGCCCAACCCUGUAGUAAACUCCCACCACUGAUUCCCCUUCCCUAAGACAGCGAAACAUGCUAUACAGCAUAUAGCACACCCAGAUUCGAAAAAUUACAAUUCAAUCCGGGAGAGACACCAAAGAUAAGAAUUUGGAUAGGAUCCAUGGGAAGGGGUAAUCCCAACGCAAAGCAUAAGAUAUCUCAAUAAUAAACAAAGGUUGCUUUUGCGAUGAGUAAGCCGAACAUAUAAAUCAAUAUUAGAUUAAACUAGAAUCGUGAUCUCUGUGUAUAUAGAUUGGUGUGUGAAAAAAUAGUUGACAACCAAUACGGAGGGCAUGAAUUGUGGCAAUGAGAUUGGAUAAGGAGCAGGGUAUAGACAAGAUGAAUUCUCAGGAUUGUUGCCACGACCUACGAGACGGAUUUGUGUGGCAGGAAGAUGUUAAUUGAUUAAGAGCAUAGAUCAAUAAAGUAGGGAGCGAGAGAGGAUGUGUUAUGGGAGAGUACGUCUGGAAUUAACCUUGCUCACAUCAUGGUGCUGCCUCCGCCACCGGCCAUCGGGCAUGCGAUGAACCCAGUACGAGAUUAGGAAGGAAAUUGUGUUGAUAUGGGAGAGGUUUCCGAUUUUGCUGGCGCGGUUACCUCCUCGCGAGAUCUGAUGUUAGUCUACGUCCUUUUAAAAAAAACUGUUUGGUAAUGAAGCGCGCGUACUUAAGUUUUUCCAACCAGAUUAGCCGCAAUUGGCUGGAGAGAAUGGAGGGAAUGGAAAAAAUUGCACGGAACCAAAAAAAAUAGGAGGGGGUUGUCGAGUCAUGUCUGCUCUGGAACAAUUGAUCCACAUUUAUGCGUGUGCGCAGUUUCAAGAGAAGUUCGCACACGGAGAUGGGUUUUGUGAGACCGCAUAUAGUAGCAUGAUCCACAGUCCUUGAUGUAGCCCUUGCACGCAGCCGCCGCCCUUGCUGGAUGGAGCGCUGCACCCCCACCAUCCAACCUCCGACCACGGCUGGCCAUGAGGGCCACGAAUGCCGCCGCGCAGCAGGGGACGCCGCCCUGACUGCCGCACCCGUCAUCCACGCGCGCGAUGGCCCCUCCGCCUCACUGGGACUCCGCGGCUACCGCCCGCCCUGGCACUAAGGCACAGGACCCGCCGCCACCGCGGCCCUCCCCGGCGGCAGAGACAGACGGGGAAGGGGAGAAACUCUGUGGCGGCUAGGGUUUCGGGGCCCCUGGCGUCGCCCGAGGGGAGGCGACGCGAGUGGUACCUGGGACGCGGCUUCAUGGCUCCCCCUUUUUACUCGUAUAGGUAUAAUAGCCCUUUGUCCAUCAUUUUGCUAACAUGAUAAGGUUCUGUUUCCACAUCAUUCCAUUCUUAACCCAUAUCAAAAUUAUCUCAAGGCUUCAUCUUUAAAACAAUUGACCAUCCUGGAUAAACAUAGUCAUCUAAGUAGAACACUUGGACAUUUGGUCAACUUGAUUGGCAAAUACAAAAGGUUCAUCCUCUGCCUUUUUACCAGUGUAAAAGAUCCACAACUCCUAGCUAUUAAAGGAACCAAACAAUAGCAAUGGAGCCAUUCAUACAGGAAUGGCUCAAAUAACUGAAAGCAACCACUAUGGUUAUUAGUGGUAUGUGAUCGAACUGAUGCAUCAUUUUUCUUCUGUACCUCAAAGAACAAGGUUCGGGUGCCAUCAAUUAUCAUGUAUCCACAAAGAAACAGAACACGCUGCAAGACAAGAAUUCAAAUGGAAUGCACUAUGCUAAGCUUCAUGUUGCAUUUGAACUCCAAAUCACGAAAAGUCGACAUGGAACUAGCCCCACAUCAAGGAAUGAAAUCAACAGAUCAAUUGCUAGCUGCACUAAACUGAGAAGGAAGAAACGAACUAGGGAGAUUAGCACCACGCAGUCGUCGGCACUUAGCUAGCGCAUGAACCACCCAUUACACAAGAGAACGGCGUUCAUGUAAUCAUCUCUCAUCUUGUCCUUCUUAUUCAGAUUUGGAUAAAAAAAUCAACACUCGAUUCAGAGUACUACAUGAUAUAGAUUCUCAAAGUCGUCCUUUUGUUCAGCAGACUUCUGUUAUAUUUUGUAAAAACUCUUUUACAUACUCUUUAUAAGCAUAUAAUCUUUGCCUUAUGCUUACAAUUGAUGUGAUCCAUUCCUGGACAUAAAUCCGUUAUUACCUUAGAAGUGUAAUUGAUAUAUGUGUUCCUCUUUAUGUUGCAAAUUAGGGUCGUUAGUUUGAUUACGCUCACUUGUGUUGACUUACUCCCAUAUACUCCCUCCGUUCCUAAAUAUAAGUCUUUUAAGAGAUUUCACUAAAUGUCUACAUACGGAGCAAAAUGAAUGAAUCUAUAAUUUUAAAUAUGUCUAUAUACAUCUGUAUGUAGUCUAUUAGUGAAACCUCUAGAAAGACUUAUAUUUAGGAACGGAGGGAGUAUACACGUACUCUAUAUACUUAAACUAGAACUUUAACGUUAUUAGCUAAGCAAUGGAUAUGCCAAUAAGGGAUUAUAUUUAAAAAAAUUGUUUCUCUGAAUAUUUACAGUCCUGAGCUCUUGAGUAUUUUGGGAACUUCAACUAUAAUAUCUAAAAGAGUGGAUGUGCCUUGUUUACAUUAUAUUCCCUGCAUAUUUAUAUCAAAUAUUCCCUGUAAAUACUUAGAGAUGAAUGAUCACUCAGUGAGAUGCUUAACCUACAUUCCCUGGAUAUAUAAAGCUUUCCCUGUACAAACUGAAUCCAAAGAUGAAUGCUUACCUAGUGCAACAUUUGAACUGUAUUCCUGUACGAAUUCUAUUCAAUCCCGGACUAACCGAACAUCAAUGAAGUGUACAAGCAUUGGCAGGGAUAUUGGACAAACCACAAUACGGAUUAGAGUGACAGACAAAUGUUUUACUCAAAUCCCAUCGUGAUCAAUUACCUGGUGCCAACAAAUCCCAAACAUGAAACAAAUGAACAUGGCCUGAGGUGGUACGCUCUGAAAUUGUUACAAGCUUGAAGCUCAUCUCUCUCAAAUCACCGUACUCCCUACAUUCCACGGCCUAUGUGUCGAGGUGCCCACGAAUAAGGUGACUGGAUGAGAGGAGACGGGAAGGAGGGAGGGAGGGUUACCUCAGAGGCCAGUCUCGCCGUCAUACGCAGUGAGGGAGAACACGGGCGGCUGGAGGAGCAGCCAGAGGAGCAGGGGCGCUAGCUGAUGAGUUGCAGCCUUCCUAGCGCGGGCUUGCUGCUUCUCCCUUCUGCUCUGCCCGCAAAGCCAUCGCUCCCCUGUUCGUCGCCGCCUUCCCGCCGCACCCCUGUCUGCCGCCGCCUUCCCGACGUUGUCCGUCCGCCUUCCCGACGUUGUCCGUCCGCCUUCCAGCCUUCCUGCAAUCCUGCUCAACUAGAGGAGAUUGGAUGGUUGACUUGUAUCCCAGUUGGAGGGAGAGACCUAGAUAGAUCCGAAUAUGAAGGCGGAUGUUAAUCUGGAUUGAAGAAGAGAUGGACUUUGCGUGAUUUAAUUUUGCUUUGACGGUUAUCACACAGAUUUUCG
rnacentral:lncRNA from 1 species